rnacentral:rRNA from 1 species
UGAGUACGAGAUGCUACGGCAUCGAAGCAGUCUAUGUCAUACUUCCAAGAAAAGCUUGCACUGUCAUAAACAAAGAAUGCCUGUACCAUAACCGACACAGGUGGGUAGGUAGAGUAUACUAAGGGGCGCGAGAUAACUCUCUCUAAGGAACUCGGCAAAAUGACUCCGUAACUUCGGGAGAAGGAGUGCCUUAUUUCUAAGGUUGCAAUAACAAGAUCCAAGCAACUGUUUACCAAAAACACAGGUCUCCGCUAAGUCGUAAGACGAUGUAUGGGGGCUGACGCCUGCCCAGUGCCAGAAGGUUAAAGAAGUUGGUUAGCAUUAGCGAAGCUGAUAACUGAAGCCCUGGUGAACGGCGGCCGUAACGAUAACGGUCCUAAGGUAGCGAAAUUCCUUGUCGGGUAAGUUCCGACCCGCACGAAAGGCGUAAUGAUUUGGAUACUGUCUCGGAGAGGGGCUCGGUGAAAUAGACUUGUCUGUGAAGAUGCGGACUACCUGCACCUGGACAGAAAGACCCUAUGAAGCUUUACUGUAACUUGAGAUUGAAAUUGGACUUAUUUGCGCAGUAUAGGUGGGAGGCGUUGAGAAUAAUCUUGCGGGAUUGUUGGAGCCAUCAGUGAGAUACCACUCUUGUAAUGUUAGAUUUCUAACUUUGUAUCAUUAUCUGGUCAAAGAACAGUUUCAGGCGGGCAGUUUGACUGGAGCGGUCGCCUCCCAAAGGGUAACGGAGGCGCACAAAGGUUUCCUCUGAACGGGUAGAAAUCGUAUCUAGAGUGUAAAGGCAUAAGGAAGCUUGACUGUGAGACCUACAAGUCGAGCAGGGACGAAAGUCGGUCUUAGUGAUCUGACGGUGCUGAGUGGAAAGGCCGUCGCUCAACGGAUAAAAGUUACUCUAAGGAUAACAGGCUGAUCUCCCCCAAGAGUUCACAUCGACGGGGAGGUUUGGCACCUCGAUGUCGGCUCAUCGCAUCCUGGGGCGGUAGUCCGUCCCAAGGGUUGGGCUGUUCGCCCAUGAAAGCGGUACGCGAGCUGGGUUCAGAACGUCGUGAGACAGUUCGGUCCAUAUCCGGUGUAGGCGUUAGAAUAUUGAGAGGAGCCUUCUCUAGUACGAGAGGACCGAGAAGGACAUACCUCUGGUGUACCAGUUAUCGUGCCAACGGUAAACGCUGGGUAGCUAUGUAUGGAGUGGAUAACCGCUGAAAGCAUCUAAGUGGGAAGCCCACCUCAAGAUAAG